AUGAACGCUGGCGGCGUGCCUAAUACAUGCCAGUCGAGCGAACAGAUGAGGAGCUUGCUCCUCUGACGUUAGCGGCGGACGGGUGAGUAACACGUGGAUAACCUACCUAUAAGACUGGGAUAACUUCGGGAAACCGGAGCUACUACCGGAUAAUAUAUUGAACCGCAUGGUUCAAUAGUGAAAGACGGUUUUGCUGUCACUUAUAGAUGGAUCCGCGCCGCAUUAGCUAGUUGGUAAGGUAACGGCUUACCAAGGCAACGAUGCGUAGCCGACCUGAGCGGGGGAUCGGCCACACUGGAACUGAGACACGGUCCAGACUCCUACGGGAGGCAGCAGGAGGGAAUCUUCCGCAAGGGGCGAAAGCCUGACGGAGCAACGCCGCGGGAGUGAUGAAGGUCUUCGGAUCGUAAAACUCUGUUAUUAGGGAAGAACAAAUGUGUAAGUAACUAUGCACGUCUUGACGGUACCUAAGCAGAAAGCCACGGCUAACUACGU
rnacentral:rRNA from 1 species